rfam:Camelus ferus unplaced genomic scaffold scaffold678, whole genome shotgun sequence.
GGAGAGUACAGUUCAAUGGUAGAGGGCAUGCCUAGCGUGCAUGAGGUCCUGGGUUCAAUCCCCAGUACCGCCU